CGGCGUGCUCGUCAUAUGGAACUUUCAUUAUUUACAAAUGGCUGCCACCAUUGAAACGUCAAAAUGUGUCCAGACUUGUUUUAGCUAAAGCGGCAUAAUAUGGACAGUAACUGAAGACAAACAUGCCAAGAAGAAAAAAGAAAUCUUCUCUUGCAACCAGACCAUCACUGGUUUUCACAGAGAGUCCUGUGCAUGUUCAGAAUAAUGUACCAUCUCCUGUACUUUGUGCAAGAUGUCCCCCCACAGCAAACUCGAUCCCUGUCGAUGAACUACACAAUCUGUCAUGGGUUUCCCCACAAUUUAGAAAUGUGAGACUCUCUGGUGGACAAGGUAAACGGAAACUAACAAGGCAAAGAAGACACAGUGUUGCUGGUCAUAGAAAUGUUGCCGCAUCAUAUUCAGACAAUAAUUCAUUGAAUAA